rnacentral:rRNA from 1 species
UGGGGAAUUUUGGACAAUGGGGGCAACCCUGAUCCAGCCAUGCCGCGUGCGGGAAGAAGGCCUUCGGGUUGUAAACCGCUUUUGUCAGGGAAGAAAUCCCUUGAGCUAAUACCUCGGGGGGAUGACGGUACCUGAGGAAUAAGCACCGGCUAACUACGUGCCAGCAGCCGCGGUAAUACGUAGGGUGCAAGCGUUAAUCGGAAUUACUGGGCGUAAAGCGUGCGCAGGCGGUCGUGCAAGACAGAUGUGAAAUCCCCGGGCUCAACCUGGGAACUGCAUUUGUGACUGCACGGCUGGAGUGCGGCAGAGGGGGAUGGAAUUCCGCGUGUAGCAGUGAAAUGCGUAGAUAUGCGGAGGAACACCGAUGGCGAAGGCAAUCCCCUGGGCCUGCACUGACGCUCAUGCACGAAAGCGUGGGGAGCAAACAGGAUUAGAUACCCUGGUAGUCCACGCCCUAAACGAUGUCAACUGGUUGUUGGGAAGGUUCCUUCUCAGUAACGUAGCUAACGCGUGAAGUUGACCGCCUGGGGAGUACGGCCGCAAGGUUGA